rnacentral:lncRNA from 1 species
UUUUUUUUUUCGGAGCUGGGGACCGAACCCAGGCCUUGCGCUUCCUAGGUAAGCGCUCUACCACUGAGCUAAAUCCCCAGCCCCUGAAAUCUUUACAAGGAGGGAGUGUGUCCGUGAUUCGAGGUUGCUGAUCAGAGUAGGGCGACCACUCUAAAAACGUAACUGCUUUUGAAAUCACUAAGACCUUUAUAGUAUUGCUGUCACUCUGGCACUUAACUGAUGGGGACACACUAGAAGAAUUGUGUCCUGAGCUAGAGAAAUGGCUCAGAGGUUAAGAGCACUGACUGUUCUUCCAGAGGUCCUGAGUUCAAUUCCCAGCAGCCACACAGUGUUUCACAACCAUCUGUAAUGGGAUCCAAUGACCUCUUCUGGUGUGUCUGAAGACAGCGACUAUUCAUAUACAUAAAUAAAUCUUUUUAAAAAA